rnacentral:rRNA from 1 species
UGCCGGUGUGAGUAACGAAAAUUGGGUGAGAAUCCCAUUCACCGUUUGACUAAGGGUUCCUGGGUAAAGUUCGUCUUCCCAGGGUAAGUCAGGACCUAAGAUGAGGCUGAAAAGCGUAGUCGAUGGACAACAGGUUGAUAUUCCUGUACCACCUAUAUGACUGAAGGAGUGACGGAGAAAGCUAGUGAGAGCCAGUUAAUGGAUUCUGGUCUAAGUGCGUAGGCUAGUAUGUUGGCAAAUCCGCAAUACUAUAACAGCUGAAACAUGAUGGGGAAGAGAGUCUUCGGACAAUCGAACUUUCAUGAUGCUAGGCUUCCAAGAAAAGCUUCUAGGGUUAAUCGUAUAGGUGCCUGUACCGACAACCGACACAGGUGGUCAAGGAGAGUAUCCUAAGGUGAGCGAGAGAACUAUGGUUAAGGAACUCGGCAAAAUGACCCCGUAACUUCGGGAGAAGGGGUGGUCUAGCGAUAGACCCGCAGUGAAUAGGCCCAGGCAACUGUUUACCAAAAACACAGGUCUCUGCUAACACGUAAGUGGAUGUAUAGGGGCUGACGCCUGCCCAGUGCUGGAAGGUUAAAGAGAUUAGUUAGUAUGACGUAAGUCGAUAAUACGAAGCUUUGAACUGAAGCCCCAGUGAACGGCGGCCGUAACUAUAACGGUCCUAAGGUAGCGAAAUUCCUUGUCAGGUAAGUUCUGACCCGCACGAAAGGCGUAAUGAUCUGGGUACUGUCUCAACCAUAGACUCGGUGAAAUCUUAAUACCUGUGAAAAUGCAGGUUACCCGCGACUGGACGGAAAGACCCCGUGGAGCUUUACUGUAGCUUGAUAUUGGAAUUCGGUAAACUAUGUAGAGCAUAGGUGGGAGACUAUGAGAUUAAGGCGCCAGCCUUAAAGGAGUCACCAUUGGAAUACCACCCUUAGUUUAUUGGAUUUCUAACCUAGGACCAUAAUCUGGUUCAGGGACAGUGUCUGGUGGGCAGUUUGACUGGGGCGGUCGCCUCCUAAAGAGUAACGGAGGCGUUCAAAGGUUCCCUCAGAAUGGUUGGAAAUCAUUCAAAGAGCAUAAAGGUAUAAAGGGAGCUUGACUGCAAGACCUACAAGUCAAGCAGGUGCGAAAGCAGGACUUAGUGAUCAGGCGAUUCAGAAUGGAAUGGUCGUCGCUUAACGGAUAAAAGUUACCCCGGGGAUAACAGGCUGAUACCACCCAAUAGUUCACAUAGACGGUGGUGUUUGGCACCUCGAUGUCGGCUCGUCAUAUCCUGGAGGUGGAGUCGCUUCCAAGGGUUGGGCUGUUCGCCCAUUAAAAUGGCACGCGAGCUGGGUUCAGAACGUCGUGAGACAGUUCGGUCCCUAUCCGUCGUGGGCGCAGGAAAAUUGAGGAGAGCUAUCCUUAGUACGAGAGGACCGGGAUGGACCUACCUCUGGUGUAUCUGUUGUCACGCCAGUGGCAGUGCAGAGUAGCUAUGUAGGGAAGGGAUAAACGCUGAAAGCAUCUAAGCGUGAAGCCCUCUCCAAGAUGAGUUUUCCCAUUGUUUAACAAGUAAAAUCCCAGAAAGACUAACUGGUAGAUAGGCUAGAAGUGGAAGUGUAGUGAUACAUUGAGCGGACUAGUACUAAUAGAUUGAGGAUUUAAUCCC